UGAGGAAUAUUGCGCAAUGGGGGCAACCCUGACGCAGCAACGCCGCGUGAGUGAGGAAGGUUUUCGGAUUGUAAAGCUCUGUCGAGCGGAAAGAAAUGCAUUAUGGCUAAUAUCCAUAGUGCUUGACGGUACCGCUAAAGGAAGCACCGGCUAACUCCGUGCCAGCAGCCGCGGUAAUACGGGGGGUGCAAGCGUUGUUCGGAAUCAUUGGGCGUAAAGCGCGUGUAGGCGGCUUGACAAGUCAGAUGUGAAAUCCCUGGGCUUAACUCAGGAAGUGCAUUUGAAACUGUCAGGCUAGAGUAAGGGAGAGGAAAGUGGAAUUCCUGGUGUAGAGGUGAAAUUCGUAGAUAUCAGGAGGAACACCGGUGGCGAAGGCGACUUUCUGGCCCUAUACUGACGCUGAGACGCGAAAGCGUGGGUAGCAAACA
rnacentral:rRNA from 1 species